rnacentral:lncRNA from 1 species
CGGAGGACGGGGGGAUGUUUUGGGGUGGGGGUUUGGGAAGGAGGAGCCGCCAAUUCGACUAGUCUACUUGAAUGGGAUAAAGCUUGAAAGAGGCCUUUGGUUCUUGCUUCCCAGCUGCUGAUGAGACUUGAGAGACGGGCUUUAGAAGUUGACAUUCGAGUGAUAAAAGGAGUAUAAAAAGUUUGGUCUUGCUACAACGAGCUCUGAAAACAAGGCCUAGUUUGAAGAUAAAUUUUUUGUCAAGUUUAUCUUGCUACAAAUUUUUAAAAAUUUUAAUUAGGUUUUUAAACUAUGGGUUUGUUUGGAUUGUGAAUUAUUAGAGAUUUUUUAUGUAGCAUUUUUUGUGAUGUGAUGUAUGUGAGAUAAAAAGAUAAUUGGAAAGAUAAAAAAGUGUGUUGGAAAUUGUAAUAAUGAUGUAAGCAAAUAUAUUUUGGCAAAUAAACCGCAAUCCAAACAAAUCUUAUAUACUUUAAAAUAUUCAAAAAAAAUAACACAAUUCAAAACAUUUUUUAAAAGCUUCUACAAUAAAUUACAGUAAAGUUUUAAACAAACACACAAAAAAAUCUAUUUGCUGAACUUGUUAAGUAGUGCUGAACCUGUGUGUAUUUUUUUCAGCACAAGAAUCCUAACUGAAUGCUUAAUUCUGAUAAUAAUCAAUAGAAUUACU